rnacentral:rRNA from 1 species
CCUACGGGAGGCAGCAGUGAGGAAUAUUGGUCAAUGGCCGGAAGGCUGAACCAGCCAUGCCGCGUGAAGGGCAGGGACCUAGGGGCGGUAAACUUCUUUUGUGGGGGAGCAAGAAUGGGCACGUGUGGCCAGACGAGAGUACCGUACGAAGAAGCAGCGGCUAACUCCGUGCCAGCAGCCGCGGUAAGACGGGGGAUGCAAGCGUUAUCCGGAUUGAUUGGGUUGAAAGGGUGCGUAGGCUGUGAGGUAAGUCAGCGGUGAAAUGCCCCCGCUCAACGGGGUGAAGUGCCAUUGAUACUGCCUUGCUGGCCUGCGGCUGCCGUUGGCGCAAUGUGUGUUGUAGCGGUGACAUGCCUCGCUCUCACAC